UACGAAGGUGGCAAGCGUUACUCGGAAUUACUGGGCGUAAAGAGCGCGCAGGCGGUCGUUCAAGUCGCGUGUGAAAGCCCCCGGCUCAACUGGGGAGGGUCACGCGAUACUGAUCGACUCGAAGGCAGGAGAGGGAAGUGGAAUUCCCGGUGUAGUGGUGAAAUGCGUAGAUAUCGCUUGGAACGCCAAUGGUGAAAACAGCUCGCUGGGGGUGUGCUGACGCUGAGACACGAAAGCCAGGGGAGCGAACGGG
rnacentral:rRNA from 1 species